UACGUAGGGGGCAAGCGUUAUCCGGAAUCAUUGGGCGUAAAGCGCGUGUAGGCGGUUCCGUAAGUCCGCUCUGAAAGCCCAGGGCUCAACCCUGAAUCGGCCGUCGAUACUCCCGUGCUGGAGCACUGUAGAGGCUAAUGGAAUUCCGGGUGUAGCGGUGGAAUGCGUAGAGAUCCGGAAGAACACCGGUGGCGAAGGCGGUUAGCUGGGCAGUUGCUGGACACUGAGGCGCGACAGCGUGGGGGA
rnacentral:rRNA from 1 species